rnacentral:lncRNA from 1 species
GAACCGGUCAAUGGCGCCAGGCGACGCCUCAGAGCGCCUAGAGGGGUUGCGUUUCCUCCUAGGCUCCUGGUCAUUUGCGAAAUCUCCCAAAGGCUUCGGAUUGAAAUCUGACCCUUCCCGGUCCUUUGCUACCUGAGCCCUGAGGGUGGCCUCGAUUUCCCUGGGUUAAAGGGCCUCCACAUAACCCUAGCUAUCCUGGAACUGACAGAUACCCACCUGCCUUAGCAUCCCAGGUGUAGAGAUUAAAGGCAUGCACCGCCACACACAGCUCUACCAAG